UACGUAGGGUGCGAGCGUUAAUCGGAAUUACUGGGCGUAAAGCGUGCGCAGGCGGUUUUGUAAGUCUGUCGUGAAAUCCCCCGGGCUCAACCUGGGAAUUGCGAUGGAGACUGCAAGGCUAGAAUCUGGCAGAGGGGGGUAGAAUUCCACGUGUAGCAGUGAAAUGCGUAGAGAUGUGGAGGAACACCGAUGGCGAAGGCAGCCCCCUGGGUCAAGAUUGACGCUCAUGCACGAAAGGCGUGGGGGAGCAAACGAGGAUUACGAAACCC
rnacentral:rRNA from 1 species